rnacentral:rRNA from 1 species
CAGUAGCCGCGGUAAUACGGAGGGUGCAAGCGUUAAUCGGAAUUACUGGGCGUAAAGCGCACGCAGGCGGUUUGUUAAGUCAGAUGUGAAAUCCCCGAGCUUAACUUGGGAACUGCAUUUGAAACUGGCAAGCUAGAGUCUUGUAGAGGGGGGUAGAAUUCCAGGUGUAGCGGUGAAAUGCGUAGAGAUCUGGAGGAAUACCGGUGGCGAAGGCGGCCCCCUGGACAAAGACUGACGCUCAGGUGCGAAAGCGUGGGGAGCAAACAGGAUUAGAUACCCUGUAGUCCCUGUCUCUUAUACA